GAUGAACGCUAGCGGGAGGCUUAACACAUGCAAGUCGAGGGGUAGAGAAAGUAGCAAUACGAUCUUGAGACCGGCGCACGGGUGAGUAACGCGUAUGCAACCUGCCCUUUACAGGGGGAUAGCCCGGAGAAAUCCGGAUUAACACCCCAUGGUUUUAUCGUGUCGCAUGGUAUGAUAAAUAAAAUCUUCGGGUGGUAAAGGAUGGGCAUGCGUGGCAUUAGCUUGUUGGCGGGGUAACGGCCCACCAAGGCAACGAUGUCUAGGGGUUCUGAGAGGAAGGUCCCCCACACUGGUACUGAGACACGGACCAGACUCCUACGGGAGGCAGCAGUGAGGAAUAUUGGUCAAUGGGCGAGAGCCUGAACCAGCCAUCCCGCGUGCAGGAAGACGGCCCUAUGGGUUGUAAACUGCUUUUGUGCAGGAAGAAUAGUAUCCUCGUGAGGGUAUUUGACGGUACUGCGUGAAUAAGCACCGGCUAACUCCGUGCCAGCAGCCGCCGUAACAC
rnacentral:rRNA from 1 species